rnacentral:rRNA from 1 species
CCUACGGGUGGCAGCAGUGAGGAAUAUUGGUCAAUGGACGAGAGUCUGAACCAGCCAAGUAGCGUGAAGGAUGACUGCCCUAUGGGUUGUAAACUUCUUUUAUAUGGGAAUAAAACGUUCCACGUGUGGGAUUUUGUAUGUACCAUAUGACUCAGGAUCGGCUAACUCCGUGCCAGCAGCCGCGGUAAUACGGCGGAUCCGAGCGUUAUCCGGAUUUAUUGGGUUUAAAGGGAGCGUAGGUGGAUUGUUAAGUCAGUUGUGAAAGUUUGCGGCUCAACCGUAAAAUUGCAGUUGAAACUGGCAGUCUUGAGUACAGUAGAGGUGGGCGGAAUUCGUGGUGUAGCGGUGAAAUGCUUAGAUAUCACGAAGAACUCCGAUUGCGAAGGCAGUUCACUGGACUGCAACUGACACUGAGGCUCGAAAGUGUGGGUAUCAAACAGGAUUAGAUACCCUGGUAGUC